ACACCUCAACUCUCAUGGUUCUCCGUGAUGAGCUUGGACUUCUGGGGGUUUUGCUGGCCUGCGGUCGGCUCCUCUCAAACGGAUCAGCUUUCCAGUGUUUGGUGGCGCCAUGGGUGUGAUAACUAUCUACGCUUGCGGUCGUCUGCCGGGUAACCUUUGGUGACAGAGGUUCGCUGGAGCUUACAAACGUCUCUCCUCAGCGAAGACAGCUUUUGAUC
rnacentral:misc_RNA from 1 species